UGUCCCUGACCUGGGUAGAGUGGCACCUGGUUGGUGGCACCUGUCUCAUAACAGUAAGGGACAAAACAACCCCUUGUUUAUCCCAGUUUGGCUUUUGCUCUGUGCCCAUGCCUGGUUCAUUCCCUGGACACAUGG
ensembl:snoRNA